UCUUUUUCUUUUUUUAUGUGACAUCCCCAAAAUCUCGGCCAGAAAAGACCGAUUUCAUUUAUGCUUUUUAAAACAUUUUCAGAGUAAAUCCGUUUGAUUUUUAAAAGAGAUGCGGAAUUUGUUCCCAAAAACAAAACAUGAUAAAAUAGAUAUUUAUCAAAACAUUUCAUAUAGAAUUAUGAUUUCAUUUCAUAAUCAAAAGUCGGGAUGUCAUGUUCCGAUACAGAUCAUAAAGCAUAAACGAUAUCAUUACAAGUCAUUCAACAAAUAUAUACAUAUGCAGACUUGUAAACAAAAUAACUUAAUGAUUCGCCCAUUCUAAGCUCUUGCGCCACUUCCUGUAAUACAAUUAAACUGAGUGGGGUCAGGCUUGGGAGCCUGGUGAGCAUAUAGGGUUUUCAAACCCACAAUAAUUAUAUUUAAUUUCAUCAAUCAACAAUAAACCCGAUUACCCAUUCUCGUUAUCCUCACCUUACGUUCCUAAAAAUAACGACUAUUAUAAGGAACUUAUUUCAGGAUUUUCAUCGGGACGGACAUUACUGCAGAGGGGCUUCCUCGACAAUAAGUGUCCUAUAGGCAACCAUGUGGGGGAUAGAGUACACCGGUGAACACGUCGUUCACAACACCUACAGGUAAUGAGCCUGCUAGUGUUCCACAGGACAGUCUAGAAUAGUCCGUGGUCGUCAUCCAUACUCUGCUGAAUGACUAGAAUAACACCAAUAACACCGAGGCCUCUCAUCUGUUUAUUUCACACCAAUUAUCUACCCAUGUUCUACCCAACAUAUUAGUAGAUAAAAAUAUACAUUUUUAUACAUUGUUUAAAAACCUGUAUAGCAUGCUUUAAUCAAUACAUAUUCCACAUAACAGAUGAGGCAUACACACAUAACACGUAUUUCAUAGAGAAUAUAUCAGAUCUAUGAGAUAGAAGAGAGUGAAUAUACAUUCACACAUAUAACCACAAAAUAUAUACACGUAGCACGUAUUUUAUAUUAAAUACUUCAUAAUAUUGCGUUGGAAAGAAAAUAACUACACACUCACUUGAUCAGAAGAUGAUCCGACAGCACUACGGCUUAUAGAAGUAGUAAUCCACAGCAGAUCUGGAAGAUCUCCUCGAAAAUCGAACUUCUCGCGGGCAGAGCUUCGACUCGGGAACCGCGCUUCUCGGGAUCUUCGGGAUCUCGGGACUUGCCUCGGGGCUAGAGUAUGAUACCGGGGCUUCGGGGUAGCUUCGGGGGUAAAAAUGCAGAGCUUCGACACGAAAACGAGAGGGAAUUGGCAAAAAUACCCGGAACCCUCGCAUCCUAUUUAUAGGAGGCUGGAGCCUCGGAGUACGCGGGGCGUACUGCGUUACGCGGGGCGUACUGCCCAAAACGUCAUUGCUUACGUAUCCGAAGUGCUCGAGUGCGAGUGUCGACAUCCCUCGGAGUACGCGGGGCGUACUCGAGUACGCGGGGCGUACCUCGGAUCAGAUCGGUGACUCCUUCGGAUAAUGCUUCCGAAUUUUGAUUUAAAUAUAAAUACAAAAUGAUUAAUAAACUUCGGAAAUUCAUAACUUCUUCAUACGAACUCCGUUUUCGACGUUCUUUAUAUCCACGGAAAGGUGAGACCAUGCUCUACGACUUUCGUUUAGACUCCGUCGGCUAAUUUUGACUUUAUUUUUAUUAAUUAUUUUUAAUAGGCCGCGACAGAAACUUUCGUUAUAAAUUCAUAACUUCUUCGUUUGACGUCCGUUCUCGCCUAACUUUUUAUCGCUUCGAUACCAACAAUGAGAUCUUCGAUUCUCAUUUAGAUUGCUUCGGCUAACAACCGCUCGAUCUCAAUUCGAGUAUUUCAGGCUGUAUACCGCUAAGCCGGAACUUCGAUAAAUCAUAACUUCCUCAUACGAAGUCAGAUUUGGGCGUUCUAUAUAUAUUCGGAAACCUCGUUUCGACUACUACAACAUUAACCAAAGAUAUUAAGUUUAUUUUACACUUAAAUUUUGACGCUUAUUUUUAUUCUUAAUUAAUCAGACCACAUAAUUAAGCAAUUAAGCACAAAACACAUAAUACUCAAAUAAUACAUUCUUAUUAUUUCAAAACGGGUUACAAAGGUUAACCUAGACUAUUAUAUUGCUAAAAAUGGCAAGCCCGGAAACACAGGCGUUACAAUUCUCUCCACCUUAGAAUGAUUCCGUCCCCGGAAUCACACAUCAACAAACAAAUGCGGAUAGCGACCCAUCAUGUCACUCUCCGUCUCCCAGGUGAGAUUCGGCCCAUUCGUGUGUUUCCAUCGGACAAGCACUAACCCAACCAUCUUGCGUCGCAAUUUCUUAGUCUUUCGGUCAACAAUUGCCUCUGGUUCUUCAAUCAACCUUUUGUUCUCAUCAAUUCUCAAUUCAGAAAUUGGAAUUAUGUCGGGAACUUCUCCCGUGAACUUCCUCAAAUAACACACAUGAAAAGUGUUGUGAAUUCCAUUCAGUUCUUCGGGUAAUUCGAGCUUGUAAGCUUGGUUCCCAAUCCUCUGAAGAACUUUAAACGGUCCAAUAAACCUUGGACUCAACUUUCCCCUUUUACCAAAUCUUAUAAGUCCCUUCCACGGCGAGACUUUAAGCAAAACCGAAUCUCCAACCUCAAAAGUCAUCGGUCUUCGCUUCUUGUCAGCAUAGCUCUUUUGACGAUCCUGAGCUGCUAACAUUCUUUCCCUAAUUAUUUUCAACUUUUCAGCAGUUUGAUGAACCAACUCCGGUCCCAUAAACUGCUUUUCCCCAGCCUCAAGCCAACAAGACGGCGUACGACACUUCUGUCCAUACAAAGCUUGGUAAGGUGCCAUCUUAAUGCUCGAGUGGAAACUAUUAUUAUAGGAAAAUUCUACCAACGGUAAAUGUUCAUCCCAAUUACCUAGGAAUUCCAGAGUACAUGCUCUCAGCAUAUCUUCAAGUGUUUGUAUCGUUCGUUCGCUCUGACCAUCAGUCUGCGGAUGGUAAGCUGUACUUAAACACAACUUGGUACCCAAUUCCUCUUGUAGACUUUUCCAAAACCUUGAGGUGAAACGGCUAUCACGAUCCGACACAAUCGUUAACGGAACACCGUGAAGCCUCACAAUUUCCUUCACGUAAGAAUUCGCAAGCUUUUCCAUAGACCAUUUCUCCCUGGCCGCUAUGAAAUGCGCACUCUUAGUGAAUCGAUCAACGACCACCCAAAUCAUGUCGUGACCAUUCUUUGUUCUGGGCAGUUUAGUGACAAAAUCCAUAGCAAUGUCUUCCCACUUACCCAUAGGCACAGGCAAUGGUUCUAAACUCCCGUAAGGUUUCUGAUGUUGUGUCUUGACUCUCGCACAAGUCACACACUCGGCCACAUACUUUGCAACAUCAAGCUUCAUCGUCGGCCACCAGUAGUAGGGUUUCAGGUCCCUAUACAUUUUAGUGCUACCGGGAUGAAUCGAGUACAUGGUUUUGUGAGCUUCUUCCAUCAGAAGAUCUCUGACUCCUCCUGUCUUAGGUAUCCAAAUCCGAUCUUGGAACACCUUCAGUCCGUGACUGUUUACACCGAACACCAACGUUUUGCCCAAACGUUCCUCCUUUCGGUCAUUUUUCUCAGAAGCUUCGCUUUGAGCUUUCUUUAUACUUUCCAAAAUAGUCGAGACAACUUCAAUUCUCAACGCUCUUGGCCUUUUCUUUUCAAGAUUGACCUUCCGACUGAGAGCAUCAGCAACAAUAUUGGCCUUACCGGGGUGGUAAAGUAUCUCACAGUCGUAGUCUUUAAGUAAUUCCAGCCAGCGUCGUUGCCUCAUAUUCAAUUCUUUCUGACUAAAGAGAUAUUGGAGACUCUUAUGAUCAGUGAAAAGUUUGCACUUCGUGCCAUAGAGGUAAUGCCUCCAUAUUUUCAGAGCGAAAACUACCGCUGCCAACUCCAAAUCAUGAGUCGGGUAGUUCUUUUCAUGCUCUUUCAGCUGUCGAGACGCAUAUGCGAUCACCUUAUCCCUUUGGGUCAAAACGCAACCCAAUCCAACCCCAGACGCAUCGCUAUAAACAGCGAAGUCUUCAACUCCAUCGGGUAGAGAAAGUAUCGGUGCCUCGCAUAGUUUCUUCUUUAGCUUCUCGAAUGCUUCUUUAUGCUUAUCACUCCAAGCAUAAGUAGCUCCUUUGUGGGUCAAAGCUGUUAAUGGACUAGCGAUCGAAGAAAAGCCUUGGAUAAACCUUCGGUAAUAUCCGGCUAAUCCUAAAAAGCUUCGGAUCUCCGUGGGACUUUUCGGUUGUUCCCACUUCAUCACAGCUUCGAUCUUCGCUGGAUCAACCAUUAUCCCUUCUUGGUUGACCACGUGACCCAAGAAUUGGACUUCACGAAUCCAGAAAUCACAUUUGGAGAACUUCGCAUACAACUUCUCCUUCUUCAAGACUUCUAACACUUCUCGCAAGUGUCUGCCAUGCUCCUCUUGGCUUUUUGAAUAAAUCAGAAUGUCAUCUAUGAACACUAUCACAGAUUUAUCAAGGAACGGAUUACAAACUCUGUUCAUUAAAUCCAUGAAUGCUGCUGGAGCAUUGGUUAGUCCAAACGACAUAACCAAGAACUCAUAGUGUCCAUAUCGCGUUCUGAAUGCAGUCUUCUCUAUAUCCUGCUCCCUUACUUUCAGCUGAUGAUAUCCUGACCUCAGGUCGAUCUUUGAAAAAUAACUUGAACCUUGUAGUUGAUCGAAUAGGUCAUCAAUCCUCGGCAACGGAUAUCUAUUCUUUAUUGUUGCCUUAUUCAGCUCUCGGUAAUCAAUGCACAUCCUCAUGCUUCCAUCUUUCUUCUUUACGAAUAACACCGGAGCUCCCCAGGGUGAUGAACUAGGUCUAAUGAAACCUUUGUCCAAUAACUCCUGAAGUUGCAUCAUUAGCUCCUUCAUCUCCGUCGGUGCUAAUCGAUAAGGUGCUUUUGCAAUUGGCGUUGUUCCGGGCAACAAGUCGAUACGAAAUUCUACUUGUCGAUCGGGCGGUAAUCCAGGAAGAUCUUCGGGAAAUACUUCCGGAUAAUCACACACAACAGGAAUAUUUUGCAUCACCUUCUUUUCCUUCUUAGCAUCGAUCACGAAUGCUAAGUAUGAUGUACACCCCUUGGUCAAACAUUUUCUGGCUUUCAUUAGAGAAAUGAUUCCAGAAUUUACUCUGCGUUUAUCUCCGUACACCAUAAACGAUUCCUUCCCAGGCGGGUUCACUUUCACUAUUUUCUUCUUGCAUAAAAUUUCGGCAUCAUUGGCGCUAAGCCAAUCCAUUCCCAAAACGAUGUCGAAACCGUUAAGUUCGAUAGGCAAUAAUUCCUCGUGGAACUUAUUUCCAUUCAGAUCAAUUAAGAUGUUUUUCAUACGAUGGCUAACAGGUACAAACUUGCCACUAGCAACUUCGACUAAUAAAGCAUUAUCUAGUCUAUCAACAGGCAAAGCUAGUUUUCUACCAAAUUCAUGCGAUAUAAAGGAGUAGUUGGCUCCAGAAUCAAAUAAAAUUUGGGCAGGCAAUUUGUUAACGAGAAAGGUACCUGAAGCGACAUCAGCUUCAUCUUUAGCAGCUUCCAGUGUCAUCUGGAAUGCUCUCGCCUUUGGCUUUGGCGGAAUGUUGGGUCUUGCUGCUUCCUUCUUUUUCGGACAAUCCCUUGAGAUGUGCCCCUCCUCACCACAACCAUAACAAACAUUUUUGGUGAAGGUGCAGUCAUUGGCAUAAUGCCCUAGCUUUCCACAUUUGAAGCAUGUGGUUUCCCCGCCACACUUCCCAUAAUGCUUCUUCUUGCACUUGUCACACCAUUUCGCUUCUACCUUUCCUCCACUUCCCCUCGAACUAGACUUCGAGAAUUUACUUUUCUUGCUGGACCCUGAAAAUCCAUCGAUUUUCCUUUUCUCGCCAACCUCUGACCUUUCCAGACCUUUUUCCCUGAUCUGGGUCUCAACAUUUCUAGCAGCCCAGAUGGCGGCUUUCAAUGUGGUUGCUUGCUUAACCAUUGGACCAUAGUCCGCUGGUAGUCCAAGGGCAAACUUGUUGACCUUAGAGAGUUCUGUAGGCACCAAAUAUGGGAUAAACUUCAUCUUUUCUGUGAAACUUGCAGCGUAUUCAGUAACGCUCAAUUUCCCUUUCUUCAAAUUCUGAAACUCAUUACUGAUUUCCAGAAGGUCCUGCUCGGAGCAGUAUUGCAUUUUUAGUUGUUCCACAAAGUCUUCCCAAGACAUUUUGCUUGCUUCUCCCUUGGGCAUAGAGUCAGCUAACAGCUUCCACCAACUCAACACGCCAGAUUUUAGCAGAGGGAUCGCAAGAGCGGUCUUCUGCCUGUUGCUGCAUUCGCAACUUUCAAACAUAGUCUCCAUUUCGGAGACCCAGUCCAUAACUUGCACCGGCGUCGGGCUUCCGGAUAGACAUGGUGGUUUGGAUGCCAUGAAAUCCUUAUACUUGCACCCACGACCAUCAUUUCCUCCAUACUGGUUAUUGCGUCUAACCACUGGUUGUUCGUCUUGACCAAUGAUCCCACUAAAGUUUUCUCCUUCAGACUGCCCUCCAUUCUCCUCGGGCUCUUCCGCUUGAAUUGACGGUUCUUCACGAUUCUGCCUAAGCAGGCGUCUUGUUUCUUCCAUCUGACGAUCCAACAUCAUUUGAAUCAUCAUUUGUACACCAGCCAUUGUUAUCGGCUCAGGUGCAUCAGCUACGACAGGUACUUGUUGAAUUACAGGCGGUUGAUUCCUGUUUUCAUCAGCAUUUCCAACUCCGCUUCUUGUUCUCACCAUUUUUGAUCUACACACCGAAUAAUUUCACCUUAUUACUCCAAACGAUUACAUGCUAGUUCUAAUAUCGUAUACAUACGCUUAGAAUCCUAAACACAUAAACCUUCAGAUCCGGUUGGCAACAAACCGUAGAUCCGAACAAAUAAUAUCAUAUAUGGCAACAUAUAACAUUUAGCACAUAAAAGCAUUUUAGGCAACUUUCCUAAAAUAAACUAGUGCUCGUGUCUAAAAUUUAUCAGACACACAUCUCACAAUCUCCACUUAGCAUACUAAGUUUAAGUCUAGAAAUCCUACAAAUUCCUAGUUCGCUUAAACUAAUGCUCUGAUACCAACUGUGACAUCCCCAAAAUCUCGGCCAGAAAAGACCGAUUUCAUUUAUGCUUUUUAAAACAUUUUCAGAGUAAAUCCGUUUGAUUUUAAAAGAGAUGCGGAAUUUGUUCCCAAAAACAAAACAUGAUAAAAUAGAUAUUUAUCAAAACAUUUCAUAUAGAAAUAUGAUUUCAUUUCAUAAUCAAAAGUCGGGAUGUCAUGUUCCGAUACAGAUCAUAAAGCAUAAACGAUAACAUUACAAGUCGUUCAACAAAUAUAUACAUAUACAGACUUGUAAACAAAAACAACUUGAUGAUUCGCCCAUCUUAAGCUCUUGCGCCACUUCCUGUAAUACAAAUCAACUGAGUGGGUCAGGCUUGGGAGCCUGGUGAGCAUAUAGGGUUUUCAAACCCACAAUAAUUAUAUUUAAUUUCAUCAAUCAACAAUAAACCCGAUUACCCAUUCCCGUUAUCCUCACCUUACGUUCCUAAAAAUAACGUCUAUUAUAAGGAACUUAUUUCAGGAUUUUCAUCGGGACGGACAUUACUGCAGAGGGGCUUCCUCAACAAUAAGUGUCCUAAAGGCAACCAUGUGGGGGAUAGAGUACACCGGUGAACACGUCGUUCACAACACCUACAGGUAAUGAGCCUGCUAGUGUUCCACAGGACAGUCUAGAAUAGUCCGUGGUCGUCAUCCAUACUCUGCUGAAUGACUAGAAUAACACCAAUAACACCGAGGCCUCUCAUCUGUUUAUUUCACACCAAUUAUCUACCCAUGUUCUACCCAACAUAUUAGUAGAUAAAAAUAUACAUUUUUAUACAUUGUUUAAAAACCU
rnacentral:lncRNA from 1 species